rnacentral:rRNA from 1 species
CAACAGGGAUUGCCCCAGUAACGGCGAGUGAAGCGGCAACAGCUCAAAUUUGAAAUCUGGCGCAAGCCCGAGUUGUAAUUUGCAGAGGAUGCUUCAGGGCAGCGACCGGUCUAAGUUCCUUGGAACAGGACGUCGUAGAGGGUGAGAAUCCCGUAUGCGACCGGUUGGCACCCGUCACGUAGCUCCUUCGACGAGUCGAGUUGUUUGGGAAUGCAGCUCUAAAUGGGAGGUAAAUUUCUUCUAAAGCUAAAUACCGGCCAGAGACCGAUAGCGCACAAGUAGAGUGAUCGAAAGAUGAAAAGCACUUUGGAAAGAGAGUUAAAAAGCACGUGAAAUUGUUGAAAGGGAAGCGCAUGCAACCAGACUUGUCGGCGGUGUUCCGCCGGUCUUCUGACCGGUCCACUCGCCGCCGGCAGGCCAGCAUCAUCUGGGCGCGCCGGACAAAGGCGCGGGGAAUGUAGCUCCUCGGAGUGUUAUAGCCCCGCGCACAAUACGGCGCCGCUCGGGUGAGGUCCGCGCUUCGGCUAGGAUGCUGGCGUAAUGGUUGUCUGCGGCCCGUCUUGAAACACGGACCAAGGAGUCUAACAUCUAUGCGAGUGUUCGGGUGUCAAACCCCUACGCGGAAUGAAAGUGAACGGAGGUGGGAAGCGCAAGCUGCACCAUCGACCGAUCCUGAUGUCUUCGGAUGGAUUUGAGUAAGAGCAUAGCUGUUGGGACCCGAAAGAUGGUGAACUAUGCCUGAAUAGGGUGAAGCCAGAGGAAACUCUGGUGGAGGCUCGCAGCGGUUCUGACGUGCAAAUCGAUCGUCAAAUUUGGGUAUAGGGGCGAAAGACUAAUCGAACC